rnacentral:rRNA from 1 species
GGAUUAGAUACCCUGGUAGUCCACGCUGUAAACGAUGUCGAUUUGGAGGUUGUGCCCUUGAGGCGUGGCUUCCGGAGCUAACGCGUUAAAUCGACCGCCUGGGGAGUACGGCCGCAAGGUUAAAACUCAAAUGAAUUGACGGGGGCCCGCACAAGCGGUGGAGCAUGUGGUUUAAUUCGAUGCAACGCGAAGAACCUUACCUACUCUUGACAUCCAGAGAACUUUCCAGAGAUGGAUUGGUGCCUUCGGGAACUCUGAGACAGGUGCUGCAUGGCUGUCGUCAGCUCGUGUUGUGAAAUGUUGGGUUAAGUCCCGCAACGAGCGCAACCCUUAUCCUUUGUUGCCAGCGGUUCGGCCGGGAACUCAAAGGAGACUGCCAGUGAUAAACUGGAGGAAGGUGGGGAUGACGUCAAGUCAUCAUGGCCCUUACGAGUAGGGCUACACACGUGCUACAAUGGCGUAUACAAAGAGAAGCGACCUCGCGAGAGCAAGCGGACCUCAUAAAGUACGUCGUAGUCUGGAUUGGAGUCUGCAACUCGACUCCAUGAAGUCGGAAUCGCUAGUAAUCGUAGAUCAGAAUGCUACGGUGAAUACGUUCCCGGGCCCUGUACACACCGCCCGUCACACCAUGGGAGUGGGUUGCAAAAGAAGUAGGUAGCUUAACCUUCGGGAGGGCGCUUACCACUUUGUGAUUCAUGACUGGGGGUGAAGUCGUAACAAGGUAACC